rnacentral:rRNA from 1 species
UGCCACUUGCAUUUCAGACUAAAUCAUCUGUCUGAAGCUAAGCUGGUUUGGAUCUGGCCAGUCCUUAGGUGGGAGACUGACUAGGAAAGCUGGGUUUCUGUUGGAA